AGUGAACGCUGGCGGUAGGCCUAACACAUGCAAGUCGAACGGCAGCACAGUAAGAGCUUGCUCUUACGGGUGGCGAGUGGCGGACGGGUGAGGAAUACAUCGGAAUCUACUUUUUCGUGGGGGAUAACGUAGGGAAACUUACGCUAAUACCGCAUACGACCUACGGGUGAAAGCAGGGGAUCUUCGGACCUUGCGCGAUUGAAUGAGCCGAUGUCGGAUUAGCUAGUUGGCGGGGUAAAGGCCCACCAAGGCGACGAUCCGUAGCUGGUCUGAGAGGAUGAUCAGCCACACUGGAACUGAGACACGGUCCAGACUCCUACGGGAGGCAGCAGUGGGGAAUAUUGGACAAUGGGCGCAAGCCUGAUCCAGCCAUACUGCGUGGGUGAAGAAGGCCUUCGGGUUGUAAAGCCCUUUUGUUGGGAAAGAAAAGCAGCAGGUUAAUACCCCGCUGUUCUGACGGUACUCAAAGAAUAAGCACCGGCUAACUUCGUG
rnacentral:rRNA from 1 species